CUACCUGAUAUUUAAUGAGGUUCUGCAUAGUCAGGCCACUCAAAUGGCUGUUGUCUUGCUCUGUGUACACCCCCUGGCCCACCAGAGCCUGCUUCACCCUGCAAAGAGCUGACCUUCUAGGAAGGUACUUGCCCCAGGUCCCAGCUGGUGAUUGUUCUCAUCAAAGGGACGGUGAGGGGCGUGCCCUCUACUGGUUUCCCUGGUAACUAGUGAGCCUGCUGCUGCUGCUAAGUCGCUUCAGUCGUGUCCGACUCUGCGACCCCAUAGACAGCAGCCCACCAGGAUCCCCUAUCCCUGGGAUUCUCCAGGCAAGAUCACUGGAGUGGGUUGCCAUUUCCUUCUCCAGUGCAUGAAAAUGAUAAGUGAAAGUGAAGUCGCUCAGUCGUGUCUGACUCUUAGCAACCCCAGGGACUGCAGCCCACCAGGCUCCUCCGUCCAUGGGAUUUUCCAGGAGCGAAGACUGCCUGCGGUCCUGUCCUGCCCGCCGUCUGCUGCAAGCUCUGGGGUGUCCUCCAGGACCUUGCUUCAGACAGUCCCCAUGAUGAAAAGGACAUUCCCUGUGGACACCAGCCUAAAUCAAUUGAAUUUCCAGCUGGCAGCAGACAUGGUCCAUUCUGAAGGAGAUCAGCCCUGGGAUUUCUUUGGAAGGAAUGAUGCUAAAGCUGAAACUCCAGUACUUUGGCCACCUCAUGCGAAGAGUUGACUCAUUGGAAAAGACUCUGAUGCUGGGAGGGAUUGGGGGCAGGAGAAGGGGACAACAGAGGAUGAAAUGGCUGGAUGGCAUCACUGACUCGAUG
ensembl:lncRNA